CCUACGUGCGGCAGCAGUGGGGAAUAUUGCACAAUGGGCGCAAGCCUGAUGCAGCGACGCCGCGUGGGGGAUGACGGCCUUCGGGUUGUAAACUCCUUUCGUUAGGGACGAAGCCACAUUUUUUUGGGUGUGGUGACGGUACCUUUGUUAAGAAGCACCGGCUAACUACGUGCCAGCAGCCGCGGUAAUACGUAUGGUGCGAGCGUUGUCCGGAAUUACUGGGCGUAAAGAGCUCGUAGGUGGUUUGUUGCGUCGGCUGUGAAAUUCCGGGGCUUAACUUCGGGGUGGCAGGCGAUACGGGCAUAACUAGAGUGCUGUAGGGGAGACUGGAAUUCCUGGUGUAGCGGUGGAAUGCGCAGAUAUCAGGAGGAACACCGAUGGCGAAGGCAGGUCUCUGGGCAGUAACUGACGCUGAGGAGCGAAAGCAUGGGGAGCGAACAGGAUUAGAUACCCUGGUAGUC
rnacentral:rRNA from 1 species